AGAUGACUCUCGGCAACGGAUAUCUAGGCUCUUGCCACGAUGAAGAACGUAGCGAAAUGCGAUACUUGGUGUGAAUUGCAGAAUCCCGUGAACCAUCAAGUUUUUGAACGCAAGUUGCGCCCGAGGCCACCAGGCCAAGGGCACGCCUGCCUGGGCGUCACGC
rnacentral:rRNA from 16 species